rnacentral:lncRNA from 1 species
CCAGAAUUCUCCUUAAAUAAUCAACAUUUCUCUUCCUCCUCCUCCUCCUCCUCAUCAUCAUCAUCAUCUACCCCUCACUCAUGGCUGGUAGGACCAACUGAACUUUUCCCUUUAUAGAUAUAUGAUAUUUGAUGAUUUAUAUGAUAAAUCUUAAUGAUUUUAAAACCAAACUGAAAAUGUACCUUUUCAGUUUUGCUUUUCACUAAUUUUAUAUCAUUAACUUGAAGUGUUUUAACAUUUAUCUCUUCUAGUUUUAAUGACAGGAUCAUCUUUUAUUGAGCUAUCUUGGUGCUCUUAUUUUGAUAUCUUUUGCUGUUGUUUUUAUGUCAUUUUAUUUAUUAUUUCUUAAAUUUCAUUCCAUGUUACUUUGUUUUUAGAUUUUAAACCUUCAGUGUUUCCUUAUCUUGAGUUUUAAAAUGGCGUCUCCUCAGUGCGCUCUGUCCACUUAUCUGUUUCUGUGAAAUCGAGCCCUUUUUAAGUUCAUGCAUUUAAUAAACGUUUCUGUUGUGGUGGGAAUGGAGGGUUGAGUUGGCGUGGAUCAGAGUAUUCUUUGUUUCUUUUAUUCCUCUGCUGUGUAAAUCACUUUGUUCUACAACGUUUUGUAUGAAAAGUGCUACAUAAAUGAAGAUUGAUUGAUUGAUUGAUAUAAAUUGACUUUUAGAGAACAAAAAAGGGACUCCAAGGACUCUUGGUACUUUUUUCUUUUGUUUGUGGACUGGACAUAAACACAGAGUUUUAAAGGAAAAAAAUCCUAGACACACAAAUUAAAUCAUCACAACAACCAACAAUGACAAGGAGUCAUCAUUGUUGGUUGUUGUGAUUAUCUAAUUUGUGUGUUUUUAAUUUUCCAAUACAAUAAUUUUGAGUAACUUUAUCUGAGUCUCCUGAAUUUGAAUAUUGACAUCAGUUCAUUUCUUCAUUUAGCAUCAUUAUAACUAUGACACUCUAAUGUCACAGAUGAACCUGUACUGCACAUAGUUUUAACUAAAGUUUAGGAGUAAAAUUAGGAUCUGAAGAUAUCAGUUCUUGAUUGACAUAUUUAUUUUAGUGGUUAGAGUCAGAAAUGAUUGUAGCAAUCGCCGUGACAACAGGAAAAAACCACCUGUACGCAGUUUAAGUGCGGUCAUUGGCUAACCUCCUCCUCCCCCUGUCUUGUCGUUUCGUGUGUACUUCCCCGUCCUAACAGGAGCUGGCAGCUAAACAGUAAAUCCUUCUGCAGCACACCGUCACAUCUGGGAGUCUGAUUAAGAAAUGCACCUGCAGGCGAGACGGUCGGAGUGGAGAGAGAGAAGAGGAAAUAUUCCCAAAGACGAUCAGGGACGCCUUAAAGAGACUGAUUUAUCGGUAAGAGAAAAACAGAAAAAACAGAAAAACAGAGAACUUACCUUUGUAUUGGCUUACUAAGAUUUCUGCUUCUUCCCCCUUAAAUCCACAACAUGAAAUUUACUUGUAUGCAUAUUUGGAUUAAGAGAUGGCUGUCAGCCUUUAGUAAAGUUACUUCAUCAGCUGUGAGUUUGAACAAGGACUUGCAUGACUCGAAGGAGCAGCUUUUCAUCUCCGAGUCGCUCAUAAAUGAUCUCAAAGAUCAAUACUGAUCGUCACAUGAUGAAUGUCUGGGAUGAAAAACUGAAUAACUUGAAGGAGCUUGUAGCUUUAUCAUGAGAAAAUCAGCUCUUUGUGCUGCAGCGUUAACUCAGCGAGGAGGACAUGAUCAUCGGUUCUUAAAGGAAACAGUCAGACAUCUCCAGACUUGGACAUUGUUGGGAGUUUAAAUGUUAAAUGUUGUAUCCGGAACCAUGUAGUGUCCUGUUGAUCCAUUUGGCAAUAGCAGUGUGAAGAAACCCAGCAUGCACCCGCCUCAUACUUAAAGCAACAUCAUCUGUGGUCAUGAACAAACCAUCAGACUCAUUCAGACUAAAUUUUGCAUCUUAAAGUAAGAGAUUUGUCUGAUAUAUUUUUGACAUUAUAAAAUAAGAGUUUCCCUUGCAUUGCUGCACAUGAUUAAGUUAACAUUAUCAAGUUUUAAGUCCACGGCUCCACUGAUGGUCAAACUUGGAUCAAAUAAAAAUGUGAACAGCG